rnacentral:rRNA from 1 species
GAUGAACGCUGACAGAAUGCUUAACACAUGCAAGUCAACUGUGGCGGACGGGUGAGUAACGCGUAAAGAACUUGCCUCACGGAUAGGGACAACAUUUAGAAACGAAUGCUAAUACCUGAUACUGUGAGAGAGCUUUGCGUCCCAUUAGCUAGUUGGAGAGGUAACGGCUCAACAAGGCGAUGAUGGGUAGCCGGCCUGAGAGGGUGAUCGGCCACAAGGGGACUGGGACACGGCCCUUACUCCUACGGGAGGCAGCAGUGGGGAAUAUUGGACAAUGGAGCAAAGUCUGAUCCAGCAAUGCUGUGUGCACGAUGAAGUUUUCGGAAUGUAAAGUACUUUCAGCGGGGAGGAGUUAAUACCUUUGCUCAUUGACGUUACCCGCAGAAGAAGCACCGGCUAACUCCGUGCCAGCAGCCGCGGUAAUAC